rnacentral:lncRNA from 12 species
GCCCUAGCAACCACAUUGGAUCAUAAAGACCAUAAAGACAAAAGCUGGAUCCUAAGGAUGACAGGUGAAUGAACUAUAAGGAAACUUUGUAUCUGAGAACCUCAUAGGGGAACCAGACCAACCCUGGGCUGAGAAGUCUGAACAUCUUUUAUGUGAGACAGAAAUUAGCUUUUAUCUUUUUUAAUGUCACUGUUACAUUUCUGGCCCCUGGAAAGUUGAAUCUAGUCCUAAGCAGUACAGGACUGGAAGCUUUUUCCUCCCUCUUCCUAUUUAUCUGUUACCCGCAGCAUUAUUCACCAACAUGGCCAUUACUGAAUCUUUUUUCUCUAUCUUAACCUUUCUCACAGGGAGUAGCAAAUAAAGGACACAAAGCUCAUAACUUUUAGUUUUGCAAACUAUGAAAAUUUUAUAACAAAAGGAAAUAAGACGUGAACCAUCAACAAUUCCCCAUACAGCUAUUGUGAAACAAAAAAGUUAAGAGAAUUCACCUCCAAAAUCCCAGAAGCACUUCUGUCACCGUUCAACAUCUAUGGCCAUGUUCUCAGUGUGUACUUGAUAAGAGACUAUAUCUUUAGUCAUUAGGGAAUUUUCCAGCCCUCCUUUGUUAUCACUUGCUUCAUUCAUACGAUUCUUGGCCUCUUACGAGAUGAUGAGUUCCCGAAAGCCUCAAAGAGCCUAGCAGAGUGCUGGGCUUUUAUUUCGAGCUUCACCUUUGCCUAUUGAUGUCACUGAAAUGUGGAGAUCCAGGGCUUACCAGAGGGAAAAGGGCAGUGGAAUAGUUUUCCAAAAUCCGUCAACAUCAGCAAAACAGAAGCUUCCUAAUCCCAGAGCUGCAGCUCAAUAAUACAGCCAUGGCAAUCAGCACAGGCUUAUUGGGCAAACUCGCUGUGAUGAUAACCAACACUCCGCGAAGGUAGCCAAAUCCUUGAGUUCGUUUUAACUUCCAAGACCUCGAAGAAUCAAGUACAGGAGGAAAUCUAAGUGUUGAAAUGCAAAUAACUUCUAAGGACAUAAAUAAAGCGGAAUGUGAUUGUGCCGAGCUUCCAGAAACCUACAGAACGAACCCACAGUUUAAGCAGAGUAAGCCUGUCUGUUUUCGAUUCUUAACUUUUCACACAUGGCAAACGAGUAGAACUUUUGAACACUGCGAUCAUCUGGCUGAUGAGCAAGCUGUUUUCCGUUUCUGGCAACAAAUACUUCUGGCUUAUCUUGACGGGAAGAAAAGGGAUGAAAAUAUACUCUGGUUGGAUAUCAUUGAUAACAUUUGUCAUCUUUGCAGCUAAAAAAAAAAUAGCUUAGAAAAAGUCUCCCUUGGUGUUGCAGAAAAUGGCAAAGAAUUGGCACCACCACUGAGGUGCCAAUUAAACUGAAUUUGUAAAUGAAGUAGCCUACUGUGGU